UUAGUUUUACCCUACUGGUGUGUGCUUAUAGUCGCUAUCUUAACGGAAUUCCUGUGCAGUACGAGAGGAACCACAGGUACGGACCACUGGCUCAAUACUAGUCCGACCGGACUUUGGUAUGACGCUACGUCCGCUGGAUUAUGCCUGAACGCCUCUAAGGUCGUAGCCAAUCCGAGCUGAUAGCGCUUCUCAAACCCAUUAGGUGUUCGGAAGCUAGCGGGCCUAACAACCCUCUGAGAUCCGUUGGAGUCUGCUUCUGCAGCCCGGCGUCUCAUCCCGCUAUACCUAGGCCGCAACGAGUGGAGUUCGCUGCACGUGUUAGUACCGUAACUGGGAACGCCGUUGGCUUGAGCUCUGCCCAACGUGGAUAUACCUAGUUUCGACACCUAUCAACCGCCCGCAAACGACGGGACUUCAGGCUGGGAGCUGCGAGUUGUAGAGAUGCGUUCGCAUCGAUCCUCUCAGGCGACCCAUGCUUGGUGGUUUGU
rnacentral:ncRNA from 1 species